AUAAUGAGAUGCAGCAGACCAGGGAGCUGAGGUGGCACAAGAGAAUGAUGGAUGUGCUGAGCCCUGCGAUUUCCCCAAAUGCGGGAAACUCGACUGCAUAAUUUGCGGUAGUGGGGGGCUGCGUUCGUGCUCUCCCCUG
rnacentral:snRNA from 1 species